GCUAUUCAGAUGGCGACCGGCGCACGGGUGAGUAACGCGUAUCCAACCUUCCUGCCAGUAGGGAACAGCCCGGCGAAAGUCGGAUUAAUGCCCUAUGUUCUUCAAUGCGGACAUCUAAGUUGAAGGAAAGAUUCAUCGCUGGCAGAUGGGGAUGCGUCCGAUUAGCUUGCCGGCGGGUAACGGCCCACCGGGGCGACGAUCGGUAGGGGUUCUGAGAGGAAGGUCCCCCACACUGGUACUGAGACACGGACCAGACUCCUACGGGAGGCAGCAGUGAGGAAUAUUGGUCAAUGGGCGUAAGCCUGAACCAGCCAAGUAGCGUGCAAGGAUGACGGCCCUACGGGUUGUAAACUGCUUUUAUGCGGGGAUAAAGUGCGGCACGUGUGCCGCUUUGCAGGUACCGCAUGAAUAAGGACCGGCUAAUUCCGUGCCAGCAGCCGC
rnacentral:rRNA from 1 species